GAUGAAGAACGUAGCAAAAUGCGAUAAGUAAUGUGAAUUGCAGAAUUCAGUGAAUCAUCGAAUUUUUGAACGCACAUUGCGCCCGCUGGUAUUCCGGCGGGCAUGCCUGUUCGAGCGUCAUUUCAACCCUCAAACCCCCCGGGUUUGGUGUUGGGGAUCGGCUCUGCCUCACGGCGGUGCCGCCCCCGAAAUACAUUGGCGGUCUCGCUGCAGCCUCCAUUGCGUAGUAGCUAACACCACGCAACUGGAACGCGGCGCGGCCAUGCCGUAAAACCCCAACUUCUGAAUGUUGACCUCGGAUCAGGUAGGAAUACCCGCUGAACUUAAGCAUAUCAAUAAGCGGAGGA
rnacentral:misc_RNA from 1 species